AGAUUGAACGCUGGCGGCAGGCCUAACACAUGCAAGUCGAGCGGUAGAGAGGUGCUUGCACCUCUUGAGAGCGGCGGACGGGUGAGUAAUGCCUAGGAAUCUGCCUAGUGGUGGGGGAUAACGUUCGGAAACGGACGCUAAUACCGCAUACGUCCUACGGGAGAAAGCGGGGGACCUUCGGGCCUCGCGCCAUUAGAUGAGCCUAGGUCGGAUUAGCUAGUUGGUGAGGUAAUGGCUCACCAAGGCGACGAUCCGUAACUGGUCUGAGAGGAUGAUCAGUCACACUGGAACUGAGACACGGUCCAGACUCCUACGGGAGCAGCAGUGGGAAUAUUGGACAAUGGGCGAAAGCCUGAUCCAGCCAUGCCGCGUGUGUGAAGAAGGUCUUCGGAUUGUAAAGCACUUUAAGUGGAGAAGGUUGUAACCUAAUACGUUGCAACUUUGACGUUACCGACAGAAUAAGCACCGGCUAACUCGUGCCAGCAGCCG
rnacentral:rRNA from 1 species